UUAUACAUGCAAGUCGAACGGCAGCACGGACUUCGGUCUGGUGGCGAGUGGCGAACGGGUGAGUAAUGUAUCGGAACGUGCCUAGUAGCGGGGGAUAACUACGCGAAAGCGUAGCUAAUACCGCAUACGCCCUACGGGGGAAAGCAGGGGAUCGCAAGACCUUGCACUAUUAGAGCGGCCGAUAUCGGAUUAGCUAGUUGGUGGGGUAACGGCUCACCAAGGCGACGAUCCGUAGCUGGUUUGAGAGGACGACCAGCCACACUGGGACUGAGACACGGCCCAGACUCCUACGGGAGGCAGCAGUGGGGAAUUUUGGACAAUGGGGGAAACCCUGAUCCAGCCAUCCCGCGUGUGCGAUGAAGGCCUUCGGGUUGUAAAGCACUUUUGGCAGGAAAGAAACGUCAUGGGUUA
rnacentral:rRNA from 1 species